rnacentral:rRNA from 1 species
UUACCAUGCGGGCAACCGUGAUAAGGAAACCCCGAGUGCCAGCACAGGCUGGCUGUCCACCAGUGUAAAUAACUGGUGAAGAAAGGGCCGGGCAAGACCGGUGCCAGCCGCCGCGGUAAUACCGGCGGCUCGAGUGGUGGCCGCUAUUACUGGGCUUAAAGGGUCCGUAGCUGGAUAUACAAGUCCCUUGAGAAAUCCGCCGGCUUAACCGGUGGGCGUUCAGGGGAAACUGUAUUUCUAGGGACCGGGAGAGGUGAGAGGUACUGCCGGGGUAGGAGUGAAAUCCUGUAAUCCCGGUGGGACCACCUAUGGCGAAGGCAUCUCACCAGAACGGGUCCGACAGUGAGGGACGAAAGCUGGGGGAGCAAACCGGAUU